rnacentral:tRNA from 1 species
GCCCGGAUGGUCUAGUGGUACGUUCCACUUCAACUGUGCGAGGUCCCGCGUUCAAAUCGCGGUUCGGGCC